GGCUCCUUCCCCCUCCCUUCGGCUCGUGACAACGAAGCGCCCGCGGUCUGAGGCGGCGGCGGCGGCGACGGUGCGACCGGCUGAGCGCGAGAGGGAGCCGGCCUCGCGGCUCGCCCCGCCCCCGGGUCUUGGACUCCGCGCCCCUCCCCUCUCGGCGCUUCCGUUACGCCCGUUGGUCCGGCGCGGGCCCCGGGGCCAUUCCCGAGCCCGAGGCGCUGGUCGGCCCCGUCGCAGCGCCAGUGAGCUACCCUGACGGAGCUCGGCGCGGCCUGGAACUCAGCCUCCGCCGGGUCUGGGCUCCCGCGCCCGGCAACUCUGCUUGGCCGCAGGCCGGGAGGCCCCGGUGUCCGCGCCCGUCCGCUCCCGCCGCCCGUGUUCUUUGGAGCGCUCCUCCCGACGGCCGCUUUCGGAGGCGCCGUCUGAGCGCGGGGUCCCGCGCCGCAAGUUCUCCUGGGGCGACCGGAGGCUGCUCCCCCGACCCCCUGGUGUCCCCGGAGUGGCUGCGCGGACGUCGAGUUGGCAUUUCUUCGCUUCCUCCUGGGCCGGCGCGCGGCGCGGCACACCAGGCUCCCCUGGGCUCGGGGACCCGGCCAUGGGCCGAGGCGCGGGCCGCCCGCCCGCUGGGAGCCACGGCUUAGCAGCCGACCGCUAGCUGCGCCGCCGCCCGGGGACCGGCAUGAGGACCGCCGCGGGGGGACGUCUGCGGCCCGCGUCGGCGCUGGGGACAAAGAAGCCAUGCAGUGACACCCGCUAAGACUUGUUGGUAGCCAUGUCGGAGCCCCACAGGGUCCAGUUCACCUCUCUCCCAGGUUCCCUGAAUCCUGCGUUUUUGAAGAAGUCCCGGAAGGAGGAGGCUGGGGCAGGAGAACAGCAUCAGGACUGUGAGCCGGCUGCAGCAGCUGUUCGGAUUACACUCACCCUCUUUGAACCAGAUCACAAACGCUGCCCAGAGUUCUUCUACCCAGAGCUGGUGAAGAAUAUCCGAGGGAAGGUAAAAGGCCUUCAGCCUGGAGAUAAGAAGAAAGAUCUGUCAGAUCCUUUCAAUGACGAAGAAAAGGAAAGGCAUAAAGUAGAGGCCCUUGCCCGAAAAUUUGAAGAAAAAUACGGUGGAAAGAAACGUAGAAAAGACCGAAUACAGGACUUGAUCGAUAUGGGGUAUGGUUAUGAUGAAUCCGACUCCUUCAUCGAUAACUCUGAGGCGUAUGAUGAGCUUGUUCCUGCUUCUUUGACUACGAAGUAUGGAGGAUUUUACAUUAACUCGGGAACCCUGCAGUUUAGACAAGCAUCAGAGUCUGAAGAUGACUUCAUUAAAGAAAAGAAGAAAAAAUCUCCAAAGAAGCGGAAGUUGAAGGAAGGUGGUGAGAAGAUAAAGAAGAAGAAAAAAGAUGACACUUAUGACAAGGAGAAGAAAUCGAAAAAGUCCAAGUUUUCCAAAGCCGGCUUCACAGCCCUCAAUGCCAGUAAGGAGAAGAAGAAGAAGAAAUAUUCUGGGGCUUUAAGCGUUAAAGAGAUGCUAAAGAAAUUUCAGAAAGAGAAAGAGGCUCAGAAAAAAAGGGAGGAGGAGCAUAAGCCUGUUGCGGUCCCAUCAGCGGAAGCUCAGGGCCUGCGGGAACUGGAGGGUGCCUCUGACCCCUUGCUCUCACUCUUUGGCUCUACUUCUGACAACGACUUGCUCCAGGCGGCCACUGCCAUGGACUCGCUGACGGAUUUGGACUUGGAGCAUCUGCUCAGUGAGUCUCCAGAAGGAAGUCCCUUCCGAGAUAUGGAUGAUGGAAGUGAUUCCCUUGGGGUGGGAUUGGACCAGGAAUUCAGGCAGCCCUCUUCUCUCCCCGAAGGCCUGCCAGCACCCCUGGAGAAGCGCGUUAAGGAGCUGGCUCAGGCUGCCAGAGCUGCUGAGGGGGAGAGCAGACAGAAGUUCUUCACCCAGGAUAUUAAUGGAAUCCUAUUAGACAUAGAGGCGCAGACUCGGGAGCUGAGCAGUCAGGUCCGCUCUGGGGUGUAUGCCUAUCUUGCGUCAUUCCUGCCCUGCAGCAAGGAUGCCCUGCUCAAGCGUGCUCGGAAACUUCACCUCUAUGAACAGGGGGGCCGUCUGAAGGAGCCUCUCCAGAAGCUCAAGGAAGCCAUUGGCAGGGCGAUGCCAGAGCAGAUGGCCAAGUACCAGGACGAAUGCCAGGCACACACGCAGGCAAAGGUUGCCAAGAUGCUGGAAGAGGAGAAAGACAAGGAGCAGAGGGACCGGAUUUGUUCGGAUGAGGAAGAAGAUGAAGAAAAAGGGGGCAGGAGGAUAAUGGGACCUCGGAAGAAGUUCCAAUGGAAUGAUGAGAUCAGGGAGCUACUGUGCCAGGUGGUGAAGAUCAAACUGGAGAGCCAGGACCUGGAGAGGAACAACAAAGCCCAGGCUUGGGAGGACUGUGUGAAGGGCUUUCUGGAUGCGGAAGUCAAGCCCCUCUGGCCCAAAGGCUGGAUGCAGGCCAGAACUCUGUUUAAGGAGAGCAGACGAGGCCAUGGGCACCUGACUUCAAUCCUGGCCAAGAAGAAAGUUAUGGCCCCUUCUAAAAUCAAGGUGAAGGAAUCGUCUACGAAGCCUGAUAAAAAGGUUUCUGUCCCAUCAGGACAGAUUGGUGGCCCCAUUGCUUUGCCCUCAGAUCACCAAACAGGAGGCCUGAGUAUUGGGGCCUCGAGCAGGGAGCUCCCAUCCCAGGCAUCGGGCGGCCUUGCUAACCCUCCUCCUGUCAACCUGGAGGACUCAUUGGAUGAAGACUUGAUCCGCAAUCCAGCCUCCUCGGUGGAAGCCGUGUCCAAGGAAUUGGCUGCAUUGAAUAGCAGAGCAGCUGGGAACUCUGAAUUCACACUGCCUGCACCCUCAAAAGCACCUGCAGAAAAAGUUGGAGGCGUUUUAUGUACAGAAGAAAAAAGGAACUUUGCGAAGCCUAGUCCUUCUGCUCCACCACCAGCUAGCUCUCUGCAGUCACCCCUCAAUUUUCUGGCAGAACAGGCUCUGGCACUGGGGCAGUCCUCUCAGGAGAAAAAACCAGAGAGUUCUGGCUACAAAGAGCUGUCCUGCCAGGCUCCCCUCAAUAAGGGCCUGCCAGAAGUACAUCAGUCCAAAGCUAAGCACCACAGCUUGCCACGGACGUCUCACGGGCCCCAAGUGGCAGUUCCUGUGCCUGGCCCCCAGGUCAAAGUCUUUCAUGCCGGCACUCAGCAGCAGAAAAACUUCACGCCCCCAUCUCCAUUUGCCAAUAAGCUCCAAGGCCCAAAGGCUUCUCCCACACAGUGUCAUCGUUCCCUCCUGCAGUUAGUGAAGACAGCGGCCAAAGGCCAGGGCUUCCAUCCCUCUGCACCAGCCACCUCAGGAGGCCUGUCAGCCUCCAGCAGCAGCUCUCACAAGACCCCAGCCUCGUCCUCUUCUGCCCUGAGCCAUCCAGCAAAGCCACAUUCAGUCAGCUCUGCAGGCUCAUCUUACAAGAAUAAUCCCUUUGCCAGCUCAAUCUCCAAACAUGGGGUUUCUUCUGGCAGCUCUUCCUCGGGAGGAACACCAGUCCAGAGUUCUGUUUCUGGGAGCCUGGUCCCUGGCAUACAGCCUCCCUCCGUGGGACAGGCCACCAGCCGACCCGUCCCAAGUUCAGCAGGGAAAAAAAUGCCUGUUUCCCAGAAGUUGACUCUGGUAGCCCCUCCAGGCGGUCCAAACGGAGAUUCCAGUGGUGGGACCCAGGGAGUGGCAAAGUUGCUGACCUCGCCGUCCCUAAAGCCCUCUGCAGUUAGUAGUGUGACAUCGUCUACCUCCUUGUCAAAAGGAGCGAGUGGGACUGUGCUGCUGGCCGGCUCCUCUUUGAUGGCUUCACCCUACAAAUCCAGCAGCCCAAAGCUGUCUGGGGCCAUGAGCUCGAACUCCUUGGGAAUUAUAACCCCUGUCCCUAUUCCUGUCCAUGUGCUCUCCUUCAGCGCUGACUCCUCUGCCAAAGCAGGGGUCUCCAAGGAUGCCAUCGUCACAGGCCCUGCCCCCGGGUCCUUCCACCAUGGCCUUGGCCACAGUCUUCUGGCUGGCUUGCACUCCAGCCCGCCCCAUGCAGCGCCUCUCCCACACGCUGCGGUGCCCACCCAUAUCCCGCAGAGUCUGCCAGGGAAAAUCCAGGUAGCAGCCAGAGGCCACAGUGCAAGACUUUGAGAGGAGCAGCUUUAAAUCUGUCCAAGUGUGAAAACUCCAUCAGAACAGAUUUGUGGGAGCACAGCAGGUGCUUCUCAGCUUCACGGGAAAGGGCCUGCUGUACCACGGAAAUUGUGACCGCUUCAGAGGCAAGGCUUGCCACUUGGGUCUGGGUGGAAUCAGAACGUGCAGGUCUCCCAGGAUGUACACUCACUGCGCCCUUUCUGCUGCUUGGUGUUCUUCUGGAGGAGCGUGAGUUCUCAGCGGAGCGCUUCUCGGCACUUCUGAUGUGCCUCCCAUGGAGGGAGCCGGGCCCUUGCUGCUCAGGAGGUGCAGACUGCCCCGUGCUCUGGGCCUUGCAGCUCUGUCGCUAGACGGUUGUUAGAGGGGCAGCUCUAGGCUGGGGCUUGCGCUGGGCCGUGGUGGGAGGCACAGUGUUUACAGGCUCUGGUGGCAGAGCAGUUGGCACACCUGUGGGUGAAUCUGCCUGAUCCCCUGGCAUUUGGUCAGAGUACCUCAGAGCACCCCACUGCUCAGGGGCUCCUUCUGGCUGCAGUAAGCUCCCUGGAUGGUCACAGUGCCGCCCCAUCCCCAGGCUGUGUGCUCAAAGCGGACAAAACUCAGGCCAGAGCCACAGCUGGGAGACCUGCACUGUCCCUGCGAAAUACUAAGAACACCUAGGGUGUGCUCACUGUGGGGGCCAGUUUCUCCUCGGAACAUGACAAUGAAGCUCUUUUAGAGAAAAGACCUUUGUAGAUUCAACAAUUAUGAUAGGAUUUUUACAGACACCUAUUUUGGGCUCAGUUUUCAUCAUUACCAUUAAAUGCAUUGGAUAGAAGGGGACUGUUCUUCACACAUCAUAUUAUAGGAAGACAUAAUUCCAGUGCCUUUAUGGUGGAGCAGAAUUCGACAACACAUGUCCAUUCAGCCCUCUGAAUGGAUCUGAGACGAAGACCUUUUUAAAGAUAUGUCUGUAUUGAAGAGAAAGCCAGUUUUGAGUUUUUUACACUUGCACAUCAUUAUCUGUGCCGUCCUGACUAGAAGGUUGUCUGGGCCCCCAAAUUCCAAGUCCCAGUAUAGCCAGGGCUCCCAUUUUGUUUUUCCAGAGUUCGUGGAGGUGGACUGCAGAGCCCAGAGCCCUUCAUCUCUCUGAGGGUCAAGGAUACCAGGGGUCCCAAGUCACAGAUAGACAUUCCAGUUUGUAUUCUUAGGAAUCAUUCUUAGGCAGUGCGGCAGAAGCAGGCCUCUGUGAAGUGUCUGCCGGGUAGAAAUAGGCCUUGAAGUCCUGGGGCUCUCCAGGCAGUGGGGUUAUGUGUCGACUGAAGGGUGAUGUGCAGAAGAGCUUGGAGAGUGGAUCAGAGAGACUAGGACAGUUACUGCAGAGCUCCUAAGUCACCACUCAACCAGUGGCUGUUUCACAAGGAUUUGAGGGCACUUGCCUGUCUUGUGAGGUCUGUGCCACAAGGUGAGUCUGAACUGACUGCUCCAGCUAAGUGAUCAGGCACGUUGAGAGUAUACGGUGUCCUCAGCACAUACACCUGUGGGAAAACGGACCGCUCUUGGCUCCUGACUCCCAGGGUACAGCGCCCAGUAACUCAUCCUUCAUUCAGAGGUUUGCUGGCCUUCCCGGUUUCCCAAGGAGCAAGACCUCUGUCCGCCCUUUGGCCCGGCCUCUGCUCUGUCUCCUUUUUUUACAUAAGAACCAAUCCGUGUUUCACAUUGGGCUAAGUGGAUUCCUUAUCCCUUUGUUAUAUAUAUUUUUUGCAACUUGGAUUUCCAGUUUGUUUACAGAGUAGUCUUAGGUAGUAGCAAAAGAGCCAAAGAAGAGAUUUGUAUUGCUGAGCUCAAAGCCAAGCAGAGGCCGGCAGUGGAGGCUGAGCAGGGACUCUCCAGGCUUCUCUGCCCAUAAACACCCGGGUCCCAGGCCCUCCUUCCUUUCCCUUUGGUGCUCCCUCCUCCCCACGUACCAUUGCGCGUGCAGCUGGAGCAGAAUACCCUCAUUUUUAGGAAUCUAGUGAUGCCUCUUGCCUCAGGGAAACGUUUCUUUGAUGGGGAGUUUGAGAUUUCUUUUCCUUGUUUAUGCUUUAUUUGUGGUAAUGAAAGAGCGAAUGACUGAACAGCCAUGGCAAGGCAGACCUACAGGCGAGGCCGCAGCAGAGGGUGGGGCAGAGCAGCCUCGGGGUCUGGGGGCUGCAGGGGUUUCCCUGGCGCAGCGAAAGUCUCUGAGCACUUACCGGGCGUGACCGUUUCUUAGGUGUGAGAGGGGCUGUGGCUUUUGUGCAGCGACUAUGUUGGUGUUAGGGGUGGUGUGGAGAUUGUUAAUCUUGUAUAAAGCAAUUCAAUAAAUUGUUUCAAGGUUUCCAAAACAUUUUUUCUCACUCUUUUCUUUCUACCAUGUGGAAGUAAG